rnacentral:rRNA from 1 species
GAUGAACGCUGGCGGCGUGCCUAAUACAUGCAAGUCGAGCGAACAGAUGAGGAGCUUGCUCCUCUGACGUUAGCGGCGGACGGGUGAGUAACACGUGGAUAACCUACCUAUAAGACUGGGAUAACUUCGGGAAACCGGAGCUAAUACCGGAUAAUAUAUUGAACCGCAUGGUUCAAUAGUGAAAGACGGUUUUGCUGUCACUUAUAGAUGGAUCCGCGCCGCAUUAGCUAGUUGGUAAGGUAACGGCUUACCAAGGCAACGAUGCGUAGCCGACCUGAGAGGGUGAUCGGCCCCACCGGAACUGAGACACCGUCCAGACUCCUACGGGAGGCAGCCGUUGGGAAUCUUCCGCAAUGGGGGAAAGCCUGACGGAGCCAACCCGCGUGGGGGAAGAAGGGUUUCGGAUCCUAAAACCCUGUUAUUAGGGAAAAACAAAUGUGUAAGUAACUAUGCCCGUCUUGACGGUACCUAAUCAGAAAGCCCCGGCUAACUACGUG